rnacentral:rRNA from 1 species
AAUACGACUCUCGGCAACGGAUAUCUAGGCUCUCGCAUCGAUGAAGAACGUAGCAAAAUGCGAUACUUGGUGUGAAUUGCAGAAUCCCGUGAACCAUCGAGUUUUUGAACGCAAGUUGCGCCCGAAGCCAUUAGGCCGAGGGCACAUCUGCCUGGGCGUCACG